rnacentral:lncRNA from 1 species
UCAGAGUGAUAGUCUGUCACAGACAACUGCCUCUCCUGAAUCAAGUUGCCCAUGAAAAACAAUGGAGUUGUUUCUGGGUUUCUUGGGCCAGUCUCAGAAGACCACCGACAUGGCAGGGAUGGGAGGAACCCCAAAAUAUUACCAUUGGCUCAUCAGGACAAGAUCUCUCUGACUUGAAACUUCAGCAGUGGCCAGUGACUCUGAAAGUCCACCAUACUGACCCUGCUGGGCUUCCUGUUUAUGAAAGAAUGACCAGUCACUAG